CUGAAGAGAGGAGCUUGCUCUUCUUGGAUGAGUUGCGAACGGGUGAGUAACGCGUAGGUAACCUGCCUUGUAGCGGGGGAUAACUAUUGGAAACGAUAGCUAAUACCGCAUAACAAUGGAUGACACAUGUCAUUUAUUUGAAAGGGGCAAUUGCUCCACUACAAGAUGGACCUGCGUUGUAUUAGCUAGUAGGUGAGGUAAUGGCUCACCUAGGCGACGAUACAUAGCCGACCUGAGAGGGUGAUCGGCCACACUGGGACUGAGACACGGCCCAGACUCCUACGGGAGGCAGCAGUAGGGAAUCUUCGGCAAUGGGGGCAACCCUGACCGAGCAACGCCGCGUGAGUGAAGAAGGUUUUCGGAUCGUAAAGCUCUGUUGUAAGUCAAGAACGGGUGUGAGAGUGGAAAGUUCACACUGUGACGGUAGCUUACCAGAAAGGGACGGCUAACUACGUGCCAGCAGCCGCGGUAAUACGUAGGUCCCGAGCGUUGUCCGGAUUUAUUGGGCGUAAAGCGAGCGCAGGCGGUUUGAUAAGUCUGAAGUUAAAGGCUGUGGCUCAACCAUAGUUCGCUUUGGAAACUGUCAAACUUGAGUGCAGAAGGGGAGAGUGGAAUUCCAUGUGUAGCGGUGAAAUGCGUAGAUAUAUGGAGGAACACCGGUGGCGAAAGCGGCUCUCUGGUCUGUAACUGACGCUGAGGCUCGAAAGCGUGGGGAGCGAACAGGAUUAGAUACCCUGGUAGUCCACGCCGUAAACGAUGAGUGCUAGGUGUUGGAUCCUUUCCGGGAUUCAGUGCCGCAGCUAACGCAUUAAGCACUCCGCCUGGGGAGUACGACCGCAA
rnacentral:rRNA from 1 species